GCCGCGAUGGCCGAGUGGUUAGCGCGUCUGCCUCUCGUGCCGACGCCCACGGGUUCGAUUCCCCUCGGGGGCA